UAAGGCAACAGACUAAGAAGGGAGUUACAGUGUUGGCUAAGGUGACUGACUCAGACUAUCAAGAUGAAAUCAGUCGACUACUCCACGAUGCAGGAUCGAAGAACAAAGACAGAAUUCAGAUGGGCCUUUUGUCAGAGCAUUCAGGUACUUACUGAUUGAGGAAGGCAAAGAGGUACCUCAUCACUAUAAGGACCGACCUGGGCAAAGUCAGGAGGAGUUUGCGGAUGUGAAGCGCCCUCUCAUAGAGAUUAUCUAUUCCUACAGACAGAAGAUGACAUGGUCAGAGUCCUUUCACUUGCCACAUUUAAAACAGAACACUGCAGUACAUGUAUUACCGGUACACAUCUGAAUAUAAGCAACACCCUGCUCUUGUGUGAGAUCCAAUUGUAACCAAAACAGCGAAUAAAUGAUCGGCUUGGGUAUACCACCAUUCCAGAGGGCAUCUCCUCUGACCCUUACCGUUUUCUCCGAUUUUCAUGGACUUGGCUUUGAGUAAUUUAGAGUCUUCUAGAUUUAAAAACCAUUUUUUCCUUUGCUGCUAAUUCUAAAUUUUGCAUCUGAUAUGAUUUCAACUUCUUGCUGCAU
rnacentral:lncRNA from 1 species